GACGAACCGUGCGAACGUUAUUCGGAAUCACUGGGCUUAAAGCGCGUGUAGGCGGGACGGCACGUCGGUCGCUGAAAUCCCCCGGCUUAACCGGGGAACGGGCGUCGAUACGACCGUCCUGGAGGGGCGUAGGGGGACCUGGAACUUCCGGUGGAGCGGUGAAAUGCGUUGAGAUCGGAAGGAACGCCCGUGGCGAAAGCGAGGUCCUGGACGACUACUGACGCUGAGACGCGAAAGCCAGGGGAGCAAACGGG
rnacentral:rRNA from 1 species